rnacentral:tRNA from 1 species
ACUAUUUUGGCAGAAAAGUGUAAUAGGUUUAGAAUCUAUAAAUGUGAUUAAUAUUACAAAUAGUA